AUGGAAUUCAUGCAUUUGCCCUUGAUAGUCUUGCCUUGGUCCAGGAUGUUCUCAAUACUCAUGAGCCCUUACAUCUCUUUCAUAUUCCCCUUUCCAGGCAGGCUUUCGAUGAAUUUCAUGAAUUCAGAGAGUUUCUGUCCAACAUACAUUCAUGCUCAGUUUCCUGAAGAUAAUGACUCUUGGUCCUUCUCUUGGGGUGCUAGGCUGCUAGCUUCUCAUCCUCUAAAAUGUACAGAGCUCAGUUUCAACACAUUCAUGCACCUAAUAACUCCUUUUGGCUCUGGAAUUCCAAAUGCACCCUUAAGCCCAAAUGCUUUGCCUGGUUUUUCUGAAUGA
rnacentral:rRNA from 1 species